rnacentral:lncRNA from 1 species
AUGGAGCCAGGCGCGCAGCACCCUGGGCCGAGCUCCUCUGAGGAUGAGAGCACCCCUCGAGUGGCAGGGAGGCCACCCUGGAAGAUGCCCACCAGGCACAGCACCCCUGAGGGCAAGGAGACAGCCCUGCAUUGGAGCCCGAGGCCUCGAGGCCAGGCCUCCCACCUUCAAGAGUCCCUGACAUCUGCACGCUCUGCACAGGACCUGGUAUCCCACCCAGGAGGGCUCAGCCCUGGGGCCACCUUCAGGAAGAGGAGGCUUUCGACCAUCUACGCCUUGGAGGAAGGCCCUAGUGAGCAGUCAGGGCCCUGCUCAGAGGCCUCGGUUCUGGAGGAUGACCUGCCAGUGCCAGCCUCACUGGCCAGGCCGCAGGAGAAGGCAGAGGACCCGCAAGCAAAGAGCUGGCCACGCAGCCCAGGUCUGCCUGGGGUCCCAAACACUGCCAGAAAGAAGAGACGGGACCCGAAGGAGUGGGCAGCUGUGAUGCUGCGGGUGAGACAGUGGGAGGCCCGCCUGCUGCAGGACAUAGAGGCAGCUGUCCAUCAUGAGCUCACCAUCCAGGAUGAGGGGGCACCUGACAUCGGCAUGAUCCAAGUCGAGAUCCAGGAGCCCACCACCUCGGGCUGACUUCACGGUCCACGCCCUCCCGCUGUGGCCCCUUGUGGGUGCAGUGGGAGUGGAUCUUGUGCCUGAGGUGAGGAACUGGGGACAGAGUCCCUGAUUCAAAGAGGCCAUUUCUUCAUGUUGUGUGACUGGGAACAGCCCGAGGGCCUCCCUGAGCCCUUGCCCUCCACCAUCUGGGCUGGUCACGGGGACACCGCUCUGCUUGUCUGACCCACAAAAACCUGUCCCAAGGCAACGAAGAGCCAUGGCCCCUGUGAGGGUGGCUGUGGGUCCAGCUCCCUCUGCUCUGUGGCGGGGGUGUCAGGUCCUCGGCUGCUCUGGGCUGAUUUCAUCAGACCUGGGAGCAGGCAGGAGGUGGUUAUGGCAAAGAAACCUCCCGGCGCCUGCCCGCGCAGACCAGGCCAGGCAGAGGGUGGAAGGAGGGCGUGCAGAAAGAAAUGGGCUCCAAGGGUUCGAAGUGGGGCCCAGGUGGGGAGACAGUUUCCAAGCUGGUUCUGGUGGGCUCUCUGGGUUCCCUGGGACCCGACUCACCCAAAAGCGCUGGAAUCCGCAGGCACUACAGGAGUUUGAUCUCCUGCGGUUGCCUGGGGUGCUGUGCCCCUGCUUAGUAUCAGGGCCUCCCCAAGGGGUGGAUCUGUCACCCCAGACCAUACAGCAAGGAAGAGAUGAGCCAGCCGAGGGUCUUUGGCUCAGUACGAGACCAGCCUCAAAUCACGUACGGUGCAGGCCUCUCGGGCCACCUUGGUAGAUGUGUCACGGUCACUUAAAUCCGGAGCUAGAUUGUAUUCUUGGAAAUGUCCACAGCCCACACUGCAUCAAAAAAGGAUUGCUCUUUUCUUGCUAAAAACAGGUAUGCUUACCUUUCCCGUGUAGUCCUCACAGCCUCCUGCCCGGCCCCUCUGUGUGUCCGUGGCAGGUGGGCUGGGCCUCCUCAGGCAAGGGGACACACAGUCAUUGCUGUUGUGGCAUUGGAAGGGGUUGCUCUAAAAGUGAGACCUUGGACUGGGUCAAAAACCAGAACAUGAUAGAUGCUAAGGACAUGGGAGGUCCAGGAUGCCGGGUCUGAACGGAUGGGGGAAAGUUUUAACUCUGUCACCAGGUAGGUGGGAAGUAAUUCAGAUCCAGGAUGCGCUGGACAGUUCCAGCAGAGAAAGGAUGAGGAGAUGCCUCUCAAAGGGACAAGGCCCUCACUGACAGCUGCCACUGGGCGGUGACUUCAGAUUCAUCCAAUGUCCUUUAUAGGGAACAAAAACUCAUCGGCUGUGUUGUACAUCUAAACAUUAGCAAGUUUCCUGAGCUAGUUCCACCUACUCGGACUGCUCGCUUUUUUCUUUUUUCUAAUUAUCAGGUUGUAAAAUGUCAGAUAUAUAAAAGUGAUAGAACUUUACUGUUUCAAAUAAGAUGUAAAAAUACAAAGCAGAAAAAUUGCCUGGAACUGCAUAACACAGCAAUCAAGACUUCAGGGCUAUUCCUUCUGACUUUUAGUACUAAAAACAAAUUGUUUUCCCGUGAACUGUUUUAAGUCUUCACAUAAUGCAAAUUGAUUCCGACAUGUAGUGGAGUGGAUUCUGUUUUUCUUCUUGUUUUUCAAAGAGUGAGAUUGAAUUUCAGAAUGGGUCCAAGCAGGAAUUUGCGGAAAUGUGUUCUUGAAAGAGUGGAGCACUUGGAAGACCUGUGUGGCCCAUGAUCUCCUAGAGGUUUAUACUUCAUUUUCUAGGGUUAUUGCGUGUUUAUCCACUUGGGUCCAUUUGCUGUCCCAUGAGGGCGAUGAUUCAGAUGCAGCUCUCUGGAGUAUUGCACAGAUGAGAUGGGUAAUCAUGUGUAUUCUCUGCCCACAAGAAGAUGCCAGGAAGCCACGUGCAGAAGGAAGGGGUGCUACCACCCAAGUGCCCAGCCACGCGUGGAACGCAGUCCCCUUUAGUCUUUCUGAGACCUUCUGGAGGGCAGGUGUCUGUGAGAGGCUGGGAACAGGGAGCAGGCGUUCCCAGACCAGGCACACAGGGUGUGGGUGAGGCCUGCUGGGGUUAGAGAAGCAGCAAGACUCGGGAUCAGCUGGGAAGGAUGGUGCUUGGGAGAGGCACACUUAGAUAUAAGCACAGGUGUAACCUGCACCAUUCUGUGGCACAAAAAUGAUUCCCUCAAAGCUCACAGUAUGUGCAGAACCCUACAGUUUGCAGCCAUAAAACCAUAUGAGGAAAGGAAAUGUAUGAAAUGCCUUCUUUUUCUCGGUAGUUUUCCUCCAACUGAAAAUUCCGGGAACUCUGAGAAGCUGCUCCUCUAACCUUUACUGACACCUGAACAUCAUAUUUGCAGCUGCUGCCGGGCCCAGCCACCGCCCCUGCCCAGUUGGGUGCAGACAGCUGGUGUGUGUGGCAUUGCUAUGCUCUACCGGGUGGUCCACCAGUGACAUGGAUUUACUCUGCCACCCGAGGGCACACGAUAGUCUGUGUAUUUGUUUUCUGGAAGACACCACUUCCUGUUAGCUGAGCGCAUGGAUUUCUGUUGCAUUUUUCUCUGUGGCUCCAUAACAAGCGAUCACAAACUCGGUGCCGCAGAUGGCCACCCCUGCGUUACCUGCUGCCCCUGGGCUCUGCCUGGAUGUCCAGGUGAGAUCAGGUGGCUUCAUACCUGGAGAGUCUGGGCAGGAAUCCCCUCUAGGUUCAUGCAGCUUGGCAGAAAGUGGUUCUGUGGGGUGGUUCUGCUCCCCCCACCGGCUGUCGGGGCACAGUUCUGUUCCCAGACCCUAAAGGGCCUGUGUUCCUACUCACGUGGCUGCCUGUCUUCAAGCUGCCGAUGGCCGCCCAAAACCUCCCAUCCUUGGAAUUUUUCCGGCUUCUCCUUCUGCCUCCAGCCAGAGAAGUUCUCUGCUCCCAGAACUCCUGAGAGGUGCAGUGCCCUAACUGGGUUCAUGGCCCGCCCAGGAGUGAAGUCCCUUCCCACCUCGGGUUCUAACUGGGGCCAUGGCAUUUUGGGGGGCAUCUUAAGUCUAAUUCCCAACUUUUCAUCAUAAAAUGCUAAAAACCCUUGUACAAAAUAAGUAUUCACAUCUAGGAUUCAUCUGUAGAGAACUAGGGAUUAUUCUUCUAUAUUAAAAGCUGUUAUUACUAUGUGGAGUUCCUGUGAAGUUUUGUCAGGAGGGCCAUAAAUCCCUGUGAGCACGUGUGAGCUCACUGUGGCUUUGCCAGUGCGAGCAUACUGUCUUUUAAGAACAUUAGCCAAGCUGGAAGGUGAAUGUGGAUGUCAUUGUUUCUAAUUUGCAUUCAUUUCAUUAAUAAUUCUCUGCUUGUCCACGUGUUUUCUGGUUGGUUUAUAUAUUUUUUCUCUCUGUAUAUGCUCUUUGAUUUUUUUAACUUAUUGAGAUAUUCCUUCCAUGAUAACUUUUUUAAACUCUUUACUAGGAAUUGGUUUUAUUUGAAAGUAAAGAGGCAGUCUUUAGUUAAAGAGGAAAAACGACAUCACAUCUGUGACUGUCAUGGGUCUGCUUGGACGGGCCAUGGUUCCCAGCUGUCUGAUCAAACCCAGUCCCAGUGAUGCUGGGAAGUUAGUUUCUAGAUGUAAAUGAGAUUAAUUAUCAGAGGACUUUGAAUAAAGUAGAUGCCCCUCCACAAUGUGGGUGGGCCUUGUCCAAUUAGUUGAAGGUCUUAAAAAGACUAAGCUCUCCCCAGACAAAGAGGAAAGUCUGCCUCCAGCCUUGGACUUGCUCUGCAGCAUCAGCUCCUCCCUGGUUUCCCUGUUUCUACCCCCAGCACACACCAGUGCACACCAGUGCACACACUCACCCUCCAUUCCCAUUCCUCUGGGGAACCUGAUGACAACAUACAUGGGACAACAAUUUGACACUGCUCAACAACAGCCACAGAAUGAUCCCUCGUCAUUCAGUUAAUUUUGGAUCGAGUGAUCUUUUCAAACUUUUUGAAAGAAAAUAACCUAUCAGAUGGUAACUGUCUACUCAAGAGAGUUUGGAUCUUUUAGGAGAGGAG